UACGUAGGGGGCGAGCGUUGUCCGGAAUUAUUGGGCGUAAAGAGCUCGUAGGCGGCUUGGCAAGUCGGAUGUGAAACUCCAGGCUCAACCUGGAGCCGCCAUUCGAUACUGCUAUGGCUAGAGUCCGGUAGGGGAGUGUGGAAUUCCCGGUGUAGCGGUGGAAAUGCGCAGAUAUCGGGAGGAACACCGAUGGCGAAGGCAGCACUCUGGGCCGGCACUGACGCUGAGGAGCGAAAGCGUGGGGAGCGAACAGG
rnacentral:rRNA from 1 species